rnacentral:rRNA from 1 species
UACGUAGGGGGCGAGCGUUGUCCGGAUUUAUUGGGCGUAAAGAGCUCGUAGGCGGUUUGUCGCGUCGAAUGUGAAAACCCGGGGCUCAACCCCGGGCCUGCAUUCGAUACGGGCAGACUAGAGUUCGGUAGGGGAGUCUGGAAUUCCUGGUGUAGCGGUGAAAUGCGCAGAUAUCAGGAGGAACACCGGUGGCGAAGGCGGGACUCUGGGCCGAUACUGACGCUGAGGAGCGAAAGCGUGGGGAGCGAACAGG